AUUAAGGGAAUGGUCAAGCAGGCUUUGUUUAUAGUGUAUUCAGAAUAAUACAUGUAAUUCUUAUAUCUUGUCUGUUAGCUCUAUGACUGUGAGUUGACUCCACUGUUUUUGUGUGAUAGCACAAUCAUUUUGACAUAUAUCAACGGAGAACACUAUUUUCCUUUUUUUCUGUGUAAUGAGAUGUUUCGUUAUGUUUUGCAAAAAAAAAAGACAAGGAGAAACUGUUGUGGCUAUCGUUAUUUUGAUAUCUAAUAAGCCAGUAGCAUUAAUGCUUUAAGCAUAUUAUUCUUUGAUAAGACGAAUAGAUGUCUGGAGUGGACCCCGGUUCUUGCUUUAGGUAACCCAUACUGAGUACAUGAUAUAUGCCUGCACUUCAAAUAUGUCAAAAUUGUUCAAUCAUUUUUCUUUUCCGUUUUUUAGGUGUUUCGUGGACUUUUUACCUACUCUUCAUCUGAACCUUUUUACUGCAGGUUUUUUACAAAUUGAAAAAAAAAAUGUUCCCCUACACUUGAUCUGAACUUUUUACCCAGUGAGUUAUGAUGCUUGACCAUUUAAAAAUUCUUGAUUUUAAUCCAUAACAUUCAUAGAGUCAAAAGCCAUUCAUAGAGUGUGGCAAACUUUCUCUGGACUGUUCCCCAUUUCCUUUCCUUGAAGUAAAAGGUAUUUGCUUUUCUAUCAGCCAUUAUCAUUGGCACUGAGGACUCCAUCCGUCUUUUCUUGUCAGCCAUUAUCCUAAGCAUACACCUUCAAUAGAAGCCAUACGCAAAUCAGCAUAAUGCAUAUUCUUCCACUGAGGGUGCCUUGUAAAAAAUGUCUUUUUGGUGUUAGUUGAGCUACAUAAAAGUAAUCUUUGGAGUGUCUGUAUCGAAAACUAGGAUUACUUGCGCUCUUAUGCAGUGCAUAUCUGAUUUACCAAUGGUACCUCUGAUAACAUUUCUGCAGUGUUUUAGAUAGCACAUAUCAAAAGUGGGAAUGCUGAAGUUUUUUUUUUAAAAAAAACAUAAGGUAACAGAUAGCAGUGAUAUUGCUAGCAGAACAUGCUCUGCAAUAUUUCAAAAAUACAUAUAUCAACUAUGUAAUAAAUCAGCUGACGUAAUUUAAUCAGCUUUCAUGGUUGCCUAUUUUUGUGCAUUUCAUAGUUCGUUGACUGUGAAUUCCAAAUGGAAUACAGCUAAGACAUGUAAUAACUGAAUCAUAUCAAGGUGUAACUAAGUUCCGCUGCACAGUACUGUACGCUGUAGGUAAGUUGCCAGAUACAGUGGCUGCCCAAGUAGUGGUUGCUGCACUAGCAGUCUAUUGGGAAGAAGAAAAAAACAGGUCUAUUUUGGAUUUUUGAUUAUUUGUUUUUUGAAGUGUGAAUCCUUUUCUUGGUCCAGUAGUGUUGCAUCAUCAGAACUGAGCAUGAUUUACCAUACAACAUAUGCCAUCUUUGUUGCAUUUCUGGCAUCUUGGUUGAUUGAUAAGUGAGUGAGAUGAAUGAUAGAUAGAUCUUUUUAAGCUCCUGGGCCAUCAUUCUAUCACUCAUUACUCUCUUUUGUACAUCAUUUAUGUAUGCAUGGAGAAGAAAGAUGUGAAAUGACAGGUUUCUAGACAGUAGGGCCCCUGAGGAGUUCUUUAUCCUUAAGACCUAACUUCUCCAUUGCCAUGGAAUUAGUUGUUUUGAUCUUGAAAGGUUCCCUAGCUCAGCAUGAAGUUAACUACCAUUUCCCUGUGGAAGAAGCUUUGCUGUGGAGGCCACCAACCUGCAACCUGUGUUGCUGUCCACUUUGUGGUGGGGACGGCGUCUCACCAACUUGGUUAUAUUGGCAUCUAUCCUGCUUUUGGAAGGCUCCCCUGUACACUGAGCACCGCUCUAUUCUACUAAUGGCACCAAGAGCUCAUCUUCCUCGCUUCUCUGGACGUGUCAGGAUGUACUUACUUCAGGACUGAUCGGUCAUCAUGCGUGAGAUGAUACUUCUUUUUCACCCCUUUUCCCAUGUUCAUCAAUUGCACGACUUAAGUCAUUUUCUCAGAUACGUGCAUCUUUGGAAUCCUUUAAUUUGGACCCCCAUCAUACUAGGAAGAAGUAAAAAUUCAGCUAACCUCUGUGAUGUUGAUGCUUGUCUUCGUAUAUUCAUAUGUGAGUAUGGUACUAUGUCAGUUUAUUGACUUGUCUGAAACUUUGCACUCAUGCAGAAAAAUAAUCUUUGGAAUGCUUUAUUUUUGUUGGGAGGAUUCUUGCUGUGCAUGAUGUGCAAAAUCACAAGCCAUCAAUCAUCUUAACCAUCAACAGUCUGAAGAUAAUAAUUCUCGUCGUAUGAUGAUGGAGACCACCACAAGUUGAUGGACCAGGCAGUUCAUUCUAGAAACUUUAGUUGACAAAUAAUGUAAGUUUUCAUGAAAGAGCAUCUAGGCCCCUAAGCGGGUUUGGUGAAUUAUAUGGCAAAACGAUUAAAGGAUUAACUUGUUUGCUUAAGAUUAUGAGCGGGAAUUUAUUCUAACAUGUAUAUUAUGUUAUUGAUGAAUGGAAAAAUAUAUGGCUCA